AACGUAGGACGCAAGCGUUAUCCGGAGUUACUGGGCGUAAAGCGCGGGCAGGCGGUUUCCUAAGUCUGACGUGAAAGCCCCCGGCUUAACCGGGCGAGGCCGUUGGAAACUAGGGGACUGGAGAGCAGCAGAGGUGGGCGGAAUUCCGGGUGGAGUGGUGAAAUGCGUAGAGAUCCGGAGGAACACCAGAGGCGAAGGCGGCCCACUGGGCUGCAUCUGACGCUGAGCCGCGACAGCCAGGGGAGCGAACGGG
rnacentral:rRNA from 1 species